UAGGGUUUUAGGAGCGCGAAUGGGCAUCCAGGUGCGAUUGCUGCUGCUGCUGCUCUACAUUCUGGCGCUCCACUCCCUCGCGAUCUUCCUCUUCACGUCGGGAUUCCUCCUCACGCGCACGGAGCUGCCGAAUGUGAGCGAAUGCGCGGAUGCCGCCGCCGCCCCUUGCGGUCGCGGCAGCGGAUCGAAUGCCAGUUGCUGGACGGAUUCCGGUGGAGUGAAGCGCGCGAUCGUUGUCAUAAUCGAUGCGUUGAGAUUUGAUUUCCUUGCAAGGAGUGAAUUCUUCUCCGAAUCAAAGCCAUGGAUGGAUAGGCUUACAGUGCUACAAGAUCUAGCAGAGAACGAAGCAAACGCUAGAAUUUUUAAGUACGUUGCUGAUCCACCCACGACAACACUGCAGCGGCUCAAAGGGCUAACGACGGGAGGAUUGCCAACAUUUAUUGAUGUUGGCCACAGUUUUGGUGCUCCUGCAAUAGUCGAAGAUAAUUUAAUUCUUCAGCUUGCACGAAAUGGCAAGCGCGUUGUGAUGAUGGGAGACGAUACGUGGUUGCAGCUAUUUCCAAAUCAUUUUUCCGAAGCUUAUCCAUUUCCAUCAUUCAACGUCAAAGAUUUGCAUACAGUGGACAAUGGUGUUAUAAGCAACAUCUUUCCCAAGCUGCAUCAAAACAACUGGGACUUACUUAUUGCCCACUUUCUUGGCGUGGAUCAUGUUGGACAUAUAUUCGGGGUAGAAUCUCCUCUCAUGGUUGAAAAGCUGACGCAGUAUAACAAUGUCUUGGAGGAAAUCAUUUCUAUCCUUCAAAAGGAGUCAGGUCCUGGUGGUCUCCACGAAAAUACUAUGCUGAUUGUUAUGGGUGAUCAUGGUCAAACUCUUAAUGGAGAUCAUGGUGGUGGAACAGCUGAAGAGGUUGAUACUGGACUUUUUGCUAUGGUCCUGGGAGGCCGAAAAGGCAAGGAUAUUCAUUGUUCUUCUUGUGGAUUGUGCAUGGACGCCAGUAGCCCGGGUAUAAGCACGCUUCCACAGCUAGAUUUUGCUCCUACAUUAUCUACAAUUUUAGGAGUUCCCAUUCCUUUUGGAAGUGUUGGACGAGUAAAUUUGGAAUUGCUUUCAUUGGCUUGGUCUAACCAUGAAUCCUCAAAUACACCAGAACACUACCAGAAUGUUCUUUGUAUAAAUAGCUGGCAGGUCAUGAGAUAUCUCGAGCAUUAUGCAGCGCAUUCGCUUAAUGGGAUUCCAGCUCCCGAUUUAAUGCGCUUGAAAGCAUAUUACGAACCUUUGUCUCGAGACGCAACUGGAAUUGCCACCGGUCUCAAGGACCAAAUAACUUCAUACAACACUUUUCUUACGGAAGCUGCCGAUUUAGCCCGAUCUCAGUGGACCCAAUUUGGAGAUGCUAAGAUGGCUGCAGGCCUGACCCUUCUAGUAUUAUCUGUUCCGGUUCAUGCACUGGCGUUAUUAAGAGUGUCGCGUUUCCGAGGGACUCACCAUUCUUAUGAGCUGCAACUAAUCUUUCCUGGAAGACUUAUUGCCUCCGCAUGCACAUUGGGAGGUCUUAUUUCUGUGGCUACAGCUGUUACACUAGGUAAAGGCUUCAGCUGGUAUGUUAUUCUUGGAGCCGUGGGCUUUGCUGCAGUAUUUGCGUAUCUUCUUUCUGGAUUUUUUCAAAAGACAUUAAGUGCGAAGACCAAAAGCUCUGAAAAACGCUUCUGGAGCUAUGCCUGUGAUUCGAAGGCCAUAGCAGGAGUUAUGUUUGUAAUGCUGCACGCUUUGAGUCUCCUCUCAAACAGUUUCAUCAUGGCUGAAGGACAUGUUGCAAGUUACCUUCUUGCAACUAUUGGAUUGAUAUACUUUCGAUUUGCUCUGCAGUUCCAAUCUAAAAUCUUUCAGGCCGUCUUGUUUCUUGUUGUCAAUCGUGUCCUUUCUGGCAUGGGUUUAACGAGCAUUGUCAAAGACACGGUAGAAUCUGGCAACGAAGUCUCUUACGCUAACUGGCUUGAUGCAACUAUAUAUUGCGUUCCCUUGCUAAUAUUUUCUUGGCUUGCCAUCCGGCACGUAUCCAGGAACUUGUAUCGGCUAAACGCUUACCUCGUGGCAACACUUGCUCUACCUGUAAUGUACGCAGCCAUCGCAGUUCAUUGGCUUAUCUUGGAUUUGAGCGAAGUGAAGACUAUCACGAUACCUGGCGAUAUAAGAGAAUUUGCCCGUUUACAACUACCUCGUGUGGUAUUUCUGGGCACUUUAUUAGCCACGGGUCUCGUCUACUUGGCUGGGAAACUUUCCGCUGGUAAAUCACAUCUUAGAGAUGCUGUGAUUGCGUUGUUCGGAGCUUGGAGUGCCUCUAUUCUCCUGCUUCUUGGACGCACAUCUCCGGCUCUCGGUUUUCUUGCAAUGCUCGAAGUGUGGUGUAUAUUGGAGCUUCAAAGCUUGGAGAAACGAAAGCUUAUUUCUUCACACUGGAAUUUUCUAGCACUUUUGCUAUUUUUUUGCACUAACCACAGAUGUACAUUUGACGGUCUUCGUUACCCUGCGGCGUUCAUCGGAUUUGACGAGUUUAACCUCUAUCGACAAGGAGCACUUCUUAUUAUUGACACUUAUGGCGCAUCGCAUGUUUUGCCCAUAAUCGGCCUGCCUUCUCUUGUUGUCGCUGAAUCUGAAAAGGAUAGCGAGCAAAAGAAGGCAGACGGACGUCGCUCAACACAUUUUGCUCUAGACAUUGCUUUGGCUUACCUUUCCUUCGGGCUCAUCCGAAGCGUCACCACUACUUUCUCGACGAUUUGUGUAGCAAUACAAAGACGACACUUGAUGGUUUGGGGAUUAUUUGCUCCAAAAUACGUUUUUGAUGCGAUUGGUCUUUUGAUAACCGAUUUAUUAUUUGUGGCCGCAUCUGGCCUGUAUUUUUCAUUCACGUAACUUCAUGGGUUCCAGAGACUUUGAGCUAGUUUUGUUCGAAUUGCUGCACAGAAAUUCAUCCCUUCUGUGUUAGACUCAAAGUGUGAGACUACGAGAGGAUCUUCGACUACAACAGAAGCCUCGCGAAAGUGAGGUGCACACAAGAGCUUAGCCAGCCAAACCAUACCAUCCUCGUCCACAAGCCGCCGGCGAAAGCUAGCAACCGGCUCAACUUGAAGAACCACACCGAGUCGCGCGUCACCAUCGCGCAAAACCCAAAGUUCCUCGGCUCAUCAUCCGCAAAGACCUCUGGCAAACAGCACGAGUAUUCCGGAGGAUCCAUCUGUUCUGUAAAGACGGAUGCUAAACUGCUGCAGCUGCAACCGCCAGGCCGCCAGCUUCGCAGACACUACAGCACACCCACUUACAUCGUUGGGGAGAGGACGAUCUAUUAAGUUGCGAACAUCUGCUGGUGUGUCCAUUGCGCUAACAAGAUCAUCUAAGGUGAAAAUGCUCAAGGCCUUGAAUUAUCCAAAAACUAAUGACGUAAUGUAUAAACUAUAUACAUUAAUUAUACAUUAAUAUAUACAUUAGUGUAUAAACUAUAAUGUAAAGUUGUUAAAAUUGACGGGAA